rnacentral:rRNA from 1 species
GUAGGGAAUCUUCCACAAUGGACGAAAGUCUGAUGGAGCAACGCCGCGUGAGUGAAGAAGGUCUUCGGAUCGUAAAACUCUGUUGUUAGAGAAGAACGUGCAUGAUAGUAACUGAUCAUGUAAUGACGGUAUCUAACCAGAAAGCCACGGCUAACUACGUGCCAGCAGCCGCGGUAAUACGUAGGUGGCAAGCGUUGUCCGGAUUUAUUGGGCGUAAAGGGAACGCAGGCGGUUUUUUAAGUCUGAUGUGAAAGCCUUCGGCUUAACCGAAGAAUAGCAUUGGAAACGGGAAGAAUUGAGUGCAGAAGAGGAGAGUGGAAUUCCAUGUGUAGCGGUGAAAUGCGUAGAUAUAUGGAGGAACACCAGUGGCGAAAGCGGCUCUCUGGUCUGUAACUGACGCUGAGGUUCGAAAGCGUGGGUAGCAAACAGGAUUAGAAACCCUUGUAGUCC